rnacentral:rRNA from 1 species
GACGAACCGUGCAAACGUUGUUCGGAAUCACUGGGCUUAAAGGGCGCGUAGGCGGACUCUCAAGUCGGUGGUGAAAUCGUUCGGCUCAACCGGACAAGGGCCGCCGAUACUGGAAGUCUCGAGGGAGGUAGGGGUCGGGGGAACUGGUGGUGGAGCGGUGAAAUGCGUAGAUAUCACUAGGAACGCCGGUGGCGAAAGCGCCCGACUGGACCUCUUCUGACGCUGAGGCGCGAAAGCCAGGGGAGCAAACGGG